CAAUCUCUGUUCCUUGUAUUAUGAAGCUUACAGGAUUACUCAUUACUGACCAUCAUCACAUGAUCUUGCAGGUGAUUGUGGGGAGGUUUGCCAAUUGACCUUAGUGAAAUCAAAAAAGAAAAAUAGUUCAUUUGUGUUUGGAGGGGCGGCCUUCGUCUGAUCUGACCGCAUGGAAAAGCUCUCUUUGUGUUGAUGAAGAAUUCUUCAUCUCAAA